GUUUGAUGGCCCAUGGAGAUGCUUCCUUCUGGCCUAGCGCGGUUAUGAAAAUAUUUCUUUAGGACUCCCAUGAACAUCUCAAAGGGGUACAUAUUGUGUAGAAAUACGGGGCCCAUAAUGACAAUCUCGUCAACUAGAUGAACUAGAACGUGCGUCAUGAUAUUGAAGAAGGAUGGUGGGAACACCAGCUCGAAACUGACAAGACAUUGCACCACAUCACUCCUUAGCCUUGGUAUGAUUUCUGGAUCGAUCACCUUCUGAGAGAUUGCACUGAGGAAUACACAUAGC
rnacentral:lncRNA from 1 species